rnacentral:misc_RNA from 1 species
UACAUAGGCUCCAAGCGUUGUUCGGAACUACUGGGCGUAAAGCGAGUGUAGGCUGCCUGCCAAGUCGAUUGUGAAAUCUCCCGGCUCAACUGGGAGGGUGCGGUCGAAACUGGCAGGCUAGAGUUCGGGAGAGGAGAGUGGAAUUCCUGGUGUAGCGGUGAAAUGCGUAGAUAUCAGGAGGAACACCGGUGGUGAAGACGGCUCUCUGGACCGCCACUGACGCUGAGACUCGAAAGCGUGGGGAGCAAACAGG